rnacentral:tRNA from 1 species
CGGAGCAUAGCUCAGUGGAUAGAGCAGUGGUUUCCGGUACCAUGUGCGGUGGUUCAACUCCAUCUGUUCCGA